rnacentral:snoRNA from 1 species
GCACACCUUCAGUCAACUAGCUAGGGCCUUGCGGCUCUGAAUUGAGGUCAGCCUGGCCCUGAGCUUUUGGGGUGUUCCAGGGCAGGCUGUGUCUCUAAACCAUUGCAUGGCUUUUCUGUCUAUAGGUCCAGGCACAGAGUCGAGUUGUGCAGUG